UGACCGUACACUUCACUGCUCUGCCAUCUCGGCAGGCUUUUAAAGUUUCUGUUAAUAGCAAAGGUGAUAUUUUUCCACAAGCACGACUUGAGAAGUCAAGUGCUACUCAAGAAGCGCAAGCAUGUUAAGUAACCUGAAGAUUCGUAUAAUCUGCUUGCAAUUGUCUAAAGGGAAAAGAAGUUUGGGAGUAGCAAAAGAAAGUUUCAGAGAUGACUCUUUUUGUUUUCUAUGGUCACUGCAACUGCUAUGGACGUCAUCAGGGUACAUCUCCGAGGACAAAAGCUCGUGUCGUUGAUGAAAUGCCCGCUUUGCUCUUUAUCUGCCUUUCCACAAUCAAUCCACUUGAGACUCGGUCUUUUCUCCGGGGUUAUCUCCAAAGAAAGAUGCCCCCUCGAAUUCCCCACUGGAAUACAACACAAGUUAGGCUUCAUUUACUUUCAGAAAAAUGUCUCUUCAAUUCAGUGUGUGUGUGUGUGUAAAUGUAAAUGAUGGCUAGCAGCAUGAGUGUAAAUCUCUUGGAGGUCAGGGGACUCCACCCAUAUCAUUUAUAAGGCAACAACAGUCACCCCACCCAACCACUUGAUCUUUGCAUGCAAGGCAGUAUGGAGAGAGGACAGACCCGUUCUGCAGUGCCCUCCUAUUUUGCGUGGUCCAUCUGCAACACUUUAUGUUGCUGUCUGCCAAUUGGCAUUGCAGCAAUUUACUUCUCCUCCAAGGUAAACGACGCCAAUGCUACGGGGAACUCUGUAGCAGCUGCUGAUGCGUCAAGGACCGCCAAGAUCCUCAAUAUAGCGGCGCUGGUGUGCGGAUUAAUUUUGAGCGCCAUAUUGAUCACUGCGUAUGUGCUUGGACUAGACGUAUUAGGUGUGUAGUUCAUGUACUUGCCAAAAUAAACAAAUCAAAUCAAAA